rnacentral:tRNA from 1 species
GGAUAGCUCAGAUGGAGA